rnacentral:lncRNA from 1 species
ACUGGCAGAUUAUUGCAAAAGGGCACGGGGCAGAGGGACUAUGUUGUGAGCCUGCGAAAGAAGUUUGUGUGGGGACUGUGGGCAGUGAACGCGUUGGGAACAAUAUGGAAAACUGGGAGCCGCCUUGGAAUCUACAGGGCCGGACUUCAAUCCAACAGGACCCACUCGAGCCAUCCACACUUGCCCCAGCCUCCUCCAAAACAGCACACUUUCCGGCUGAAGAAAAGAAGAAUGGUAUUCACGCAGUUCCCAUUUUACAGAUGAAAACAAGAGGACUUUUUCUGUGAAGUCAAGAAAGUGGUUACAAUGGUACUUUCAGCCUGUCCGAAUUAUGUAUUGCCCCUCCCCUUUUUAUUAAUAACAUUGAAGUGUGAUGGGACAACCACUGAAGCCGUCAGUUGAAACCUGCUGGGACUUUUUAGCCAUUCUCUUCAACAUAAAGAAUGGGUGUUUUUGGAGGGGGUGAGAGGAAUGGGGAAAUGUUGUCAAAGAGUACAACGUUUUAGUUGAGACAGGAAGAAUAUAUUUUGUUGAGAUCUACAGCACAGCAUGGUGACUGUAGUUAACAAUGAAGUAUUGUCUAUUUCCAAAUUGCUAAGACAAUAAAUUUCAAAUGUUCUCACCACAAAAAAGAUAGGUUUUGAGGUGAUGAAUCUAUUAAUUCUCUGGAUUUAAUUAUUCCACAAUGUAUACAUAUAUCAUAAUAUCACAUUAUACCUCCGUAAAUACAUACAAUUUUAAUUUGUCAAUUAACAUUUUUUUAAUAGAAUAGUGUGGCCAGUCGGGGAGGUAGUGUUGUUUUUUUUUUUUUCCUCUAGUCUCUACUCAGUCUCCAAGAUCCCAUUCCCCAUAAAGUUCCUGUCACCCAGGUGGAGUGCAGUGGCACAAUCAUGGCUCACUGCACCCUCUCCCUCUUGGGCUCAAGCGAUCCUCCCGCCUACAGGUACAUGCCACCACGCCCAGCUAGUUUUUGUAGUUUUUGUAGACAUGGGGUUUCACCAUGUUGCCUAGGCUGGUCUCGAACUCCUCAGCUCAAUCAAUCUGCCCACUUUAGCCUCCCACAGUGCUGGGAUUGCAGGUGUG